rnacentral:lncRNA from 1 species
UCAGGGUCUAACUUCAAGGUUCACUUAAGGGGGACCCAUGGGUGUCCUCACAAUGCGGUGCCGCGCAGCGCCAGGCCAUCUCCGGGGAUCACGUCUUAACUGGAAUGGGACUUUUGACGGGCAGAAUUGGAAGUGCAGUCCAAGAAAGGCGUGCGGACAUAGAGAGCAAGUUGUGGUGUCUGGUCGUUCAAACGCCUCUGGAAAGGUUCUCCAAGAAGCCUCUCUUCACCUCCUCCUUCCCUAUGAGUUCUCAUACCACACCGGAGAUCUGGCAUGGAGGAGUGGCAAAUAUUUGCAAUAGGCAAAAGAGAUGACUCAGUCAAGUGCUGCACAUCAAGGACCUGAGUUCAAAUCGCCAGAACACAGUAAAAGAAACUGACUACAUGGAUUUCCAGUCUUUUCACCCCAACUUUGAAAUGCUACAAAUCCAAUGUAACAGACAAGGAUCUCUGCAGCUGGUCUCUUUCCAUCCUCUGCCAUUUUGUAACAUCUCCAGGUCCUCUCUAUGUCUGGAUCAGUUUGGUUUUUGAAAGAGAGGUGGCCUGGAACUAGUGGCAGUCCUCCUGCCUCAACCUCCCAAAUAUUCUGACUAUAGAAAUACAGUAUAACACCCAGCUGAGACUGCAGGUUGUUUCAUCCACUGUGGGCCUGCUGUCUAGACUGAGACAGACUAUGAAGUUCAGGGUCCUCUGAACCCAACCACAACAGCCUUGGCCUCCCUGGAAAGCCUCCAUAUAAGCUGAGAUGAAGCCA